GGGAAUGUGUGAUCUAAGUCCUUGAAAGCAAGAACAAGAAAAUCACAUACAAAAUGAAUUACAGCUCACAAGGGAAUUUCCCACGGCCACACAUCACGUCUUUGUCAGAGCUGGGCCUGGAACCCUUUCUGCACUCAAACCCUUUAUGAAGACCCACUUUGUCCAUGAGGCCCCCAAAUCCCCCCUUCCCCAAAAAAAGGAGGACAACACCUGUGCGGAUUCUCCGGAAGAGGACAGAAAAGAAGACCAUGGGAUGCCCAACCCAGUGGACCAUAGUAAUACAGUGACCAGCACCAUGACAGUGCAAGAGUAUUUUGCCAAGCGCAUGGCAAAACUGAAGAAAUUCCAGAAAGAACCAGAGAGUGAGUUAGCUGAUCCUGGCACGACUGCGGCUGAAGACUUAGAGUCUUCACAAGGACUGAAAACCAGAUCCAAAAAGAAAAGCUGGAAAAAUGCUGAGGCAGAGAACGUGGACAGUUAUGAAGAACCAAAGGUGAAACGCUCCAGAACAGAUGGCUUGUGGGAAGAAGAACUGGAGACAGCAAACACUGAAUACCAAUCAAGGAAAAAGAAAAAGAAAGCUAAAGAUCCACGCAAAGGUGAAGAUGUCAGUUGUGAUGGAAAUUCCUGUGUUUUCCCAAGGAGUGGAGAAAUUUACCUUGGAACAUCUGACAGGAAAAAUCUUGGUGAAGAAGACUCUGAGAUAAAGCAAAAGAAACCAUAUAAGAAAAAACACAAAAAGCAGAAAAAAGAGGCAGCUGAGUAUGUCGAUGGAAUGCAGAGAAAAAAGAAGAAACAUUUGAGUUAACUUAGCACCAUCUUGGACUUCAGAAUUAGUUAGAGGUCGACAGGUUGAAUAUGAAGCCUUCUAUAAAUGCUAGCCAGACAUCAAAAUGUAGUUCAUCCCAUGUGUAGCGCACUCUGUCAGUACUGACUCUUUAAACACAGCGCUUGUUGGCAGGGCGGGAAUACAUUGUCUCGUCAUAGGUGGGGAUGAAGCAUGCUAUUAACUGUUGGACAACAGUUCAUACAUGUAGUUAAGCUCUGCCUGUGCUCGAGUAAUCCACAUCCCCUCACACACACACCAGCAAGAGCUAUACUUUAGCGCAGUCACCUAAAUCUACUCUCGCUUACACUGGUAUCAUUUCACUGAAGUCAGUCACCAGUUGCUACUGUGAGAAAAGAACAGGACUGUGUUCUAAUAAAAAAUGCCUGCAGAUCA
rnacentral:lncRNA from 1 species